AAAUGAAAGAAGGCAUCUGUCAUGGAAGCUGAAGGAACAGAACAGAGACGGCGUGGUCGCCACGCCUGUAAUCCCAGCACUUUGGGAGGCUGAGGCGGGCCGAUCAUGAGGUCAGAGUUUGAGACCAGUCUGGCCAACAUGGUGAAAUCCCGUCUCUACUAAAGAUACAAAAAAUUAGCUGGCACGCACCUGUAAUCCCAGCUACUCAGGAGGCUGAGGUAGGAGAAUCGCUUGAACCCGGGAAGCGGAGGUUGCAGUGAGCCGAGAUUGCGUCACUGCACUCCAGCCUGGGUGACAGGGCGAGAAUCCGUCUCAAAAAAAUAAAAAGGACAGAACAGAAACUGAACAGGAACAGAAGCUGAAAAGUCACGAGGCAGAGUGUGACGGUUGGAGCCACCUCAAAAGUCUUAUGCAAGCUGCUAUUUAGAUGAGCAGAAACGACGAGUUAGAGAUGAAGCUGAUAGUUCGCAGAGAAGGGAGUGAAACAGUCCCAAAAUAGACACAAGGUGUGACAAAAAAGAAGAGGGAGAAGACCGUCAGUAGAGCUAUUUCAUAUUCUGAGAACUUCCCUUUCCAGUUCCAGAGACUUUACCAUUAAACCCCUUUAAUUUACACUGGCCUAUGUCCUUUGCUGUCACUUCACUGCCUUACCUCUCUAAAACAUGUAGAUAGGAUUCACCCACUUCACAGAUAGAGAAACUGAAACCCAGAAACAUUAACUGACUUAACCAAGAUCACACAGCCAUUGAGUGGCACAACCGAGCCUGGAGUGCAGAGCAUAUAGGAUGCCUGAGCCCUUUCUUUCAUAUCUUCUUUGAAAGGUUGUCCCUCUUUGAUAUGUCCCACUAGUUAGCAUCCUCACCACCAUCCCUUCCAGGGACUUGUUUCUUGGAGGCUGCCACGAAGUUUGUUUUAGCGACAAACCUGUCCUUGACAGAUGACUUUGCCUUGGGAUGCCAUCUUCCCGAUGGAAUUCUUUGAUUCCACCCCUUCCUCAAGCUGAGUUAAUUGCCAAGACUGUGAGGGAAAUUACACCACCUCCUCGGUUCACCCAGCAGGACACCAAUCCUUAACAAGGCAACUUUCUGACAAAGUAUGUUAGAUGCCCUCAGACAAAACUUUCCUAGCAGGGGAUUGGAGAAGGAGAAAAAUUAAAGGCAGAAUAGAAAGUGGGGGGCGGGGGGGGGGGAGAGAGGGAGAGAUUUCUUUCCAUUGAUCUCUUUGCCAAUGAGAAGUCUUUAAAAAUCACUUUUUAGCUGUAGCCCUCAGAUGCAUGAGCUGCUAUGCUGAGAGAAGAGGGAAAAAAAUCAAACUCUGAAUCAGAUCAAACUGUGAUCUUUCAUUCUGAACAGGCGGCCAUCUUGGCAAAUGGAAAAUUAGAAAUUCAAACAAAAGGAAGAGGGAAUAUCUGAGGUAGAGUUGGCCUUGGGCAAAAAUUGUGAGGUUGGUAAGUCUGACUUCAGAACUCCACAGUGCCCCAUCCUCUCCCUGCUUCCCGCCCUAGGCAGAUUCUACCUUGAGUUAGGUGAGGAAAAGAGAAACAUGGCUUUGCCUCCCUCCCAGCUUCUCCUCCGAAUUCCUGGUGGACCUUUUUGGACUUGUCUUAUUCAGUCUUGGUGUUAUAUGUCCUAUUACUGUUUUGUACUGACAGCAACUGCCCAGAAGGGGCUAACUGAUAGUUAAAACAGUUAAUUAAAUAAUAAAUGAAAUCUAAGCUGUAGAUAUACCCUCCUCACCAAUCCAUGGAUAUUUGAGAUUUGAAAGAGAGAGCUUCAGAAGUGCCCAAAUUCUUCCAGGCAUAAAGACUGUAUAAUGGAGGAAUAGCAGAUAGUGCAGUGAUUGAGGGGUGUGGUGGAUGCCGCCGCAUGCUGCCAAGACCCCCUGCUUAGAGACGAAAGACUUAUUAUCCUAACUUCUGGAGUACUUUUGGAAAAGUGUCCUCUGCAAUCAGCCCCUUCUUGCUUCAGCUGAAGAGAGCUAUCUCAUCCAAGCUACCUCAUCCAAGGUCAUGCCCCCAUCUCUGGGCAGCCUGCAUCCAACUACUAAUUAACAGAGGGGAUACAGACCCAGCCUUUUUGCUGAGACAACUUCAGUGACAAGUAUGAAGGAUCACUGCAUUUUCAGAACUCCCCAUAACUUUGGCUGAGGUUUCUGUUGAGACUACAUUGCAGCUGAUUUUCUUUUUUCAAUCCUGCUUCCUUCCCUUCCCCCAAGUAUAUGGUCAACCACCCAGAUAUUUCUCAACCUGCCUCCCAGUGAGGUGCCAUGUAACUACAUUCUGGCCAAUGACAUGGCCAUGACACUCAUGGAACACAAACCAUCUAUUUGUCUACCACAAAAUGCACCCAAGUGUCUCAAAGUGCCCUUCUGGUUACAAAAUGAGACACUGCUUCAGGACCUUGGAGAGCGCCCUUCCAGGUUAACACAAGGUCAAUAUCACCAGGACCUCCCUGAGAUCCACGGGAUGGCAUUUUCUCUUCUUGACAUUAGCCAGAAAAACAAAACAAAACAAAAAAAAAAAAAUUAAGCAAACAAUAUGGGCUGGCGUGAGAAAAUAAUUUAUUUCACUUGAAAUAUGGCAAUCUUCCUCAGAGGGAGUUUGGAGGAAAAUGUUUAUAUUUAGCAAGAUUAAGACAAUAAUAAUUCACUAAGUACCUGCUAUAUGCCAGAAAUGUAAGACGUUGUUGUCAUUUUAUGUACGCAAAAGCAGAGGAUUAAUAAGCUACCAUAUCAUACACUUCCUAAAUGCCAGGCACUCUGCUAAGAUAUAUAUACAGAUAUACUCCAUAUCUACAAAUGUAGUGCUACGAUAAAUCUCUUCACCACAAUCCUAUGAUGUUACACUGACAUACUUUGCUAUGUUGAUCUAUUCAGUUCCUGAUUUUGAAUAAAAAUGAUUUAGACAGUGAAACAUUAUAUUAUUAUUGGCCCCAUUUUAUGUGAAGAAAUUGAGGCAGGUAGUACAUAGCUCUGAAUAGCAGUAACAGAAUUCAGUUGAGGCAAUCUAGUCAUAACUAAGGUGACUAUUUAAUUUACUGUGCAAAAAUGGAAUUCUUCUAGACAACCCACAGAUUAGGAGAAAAUGUUCGCAAACUAUCCAUCUGACAAGGGAUUAAUAACCAGAAUAUAUAAGGAGCUCAAAUAAUAGCAAAAAAAAAUCUGAUUUUAAAAUGGGCAAAAGAUCUGAACAGACAUUUCUCAAAAGAAGACAUACAAAUGGCUUAUAUGAAAAAAAUGCUCAGUAUCACUAAUCAUCAGGGAAAUGUAAGUCGAAACUGCAAUAAGAUAUCAUCUCAUCUCAAUUAAAAUCGCUUGUAUCAAAAAGACAGGCAAUAACAGAUGCUGGCAAGGAUGUGGAGAAAGGUGAACCCUCAUACACUAUUGGUGGGAAUGUAAGUUCAUACAGCCACUGUGGAAAACAGUAUGGAAGUUUCUCAAAAAACUACAAAUAGAACUACCAUGUGUUCCAGCAAUGUUACUACUGGGUAUAUAUCCAAAAGAGAGGAAAUCAGUAUAUCAAAGAGAUAUCUGCACUCCUACAUCUAUUGCAGCACUAUUCACAAUACCCAAGAUAUGGAAUCAAGCUAAGUGCCCAUCAACGGAUGAAUGGGUAAAGAAAAUACGGUGUCUAUGGACAAUGGGAUAUUAUUCAGCCAUAAAAAAUGAAAUUCUGUCACUUGCAGCAACAUGGAUGGAACUGGAGGUCAUUAUGUUAAGGGAAAUAAGCAAAGCACAGAAAGACAAAUUAUCCGUGUUCUCACCCAUAUGUGGGAGCCAUAAAAGUGGAUUUCAUGAAGA